rnacentral:lncRNA from 1 species
CAGAUGGACAGAUGGACACGGGGACAGAUGGACAGGAUGGACGACAGGAACCUGCGGACGGACAGACGGACAGAUGGACACGGGGACAGAUGGACAGGAUGGACGACAGGAACCUGCGGACAGAUGGACAGAUGGACACGGGGACAGACAGGAACCUGCGGACGGACAGACGGACAGACAUGGGGACAGAUGGACACGGGGACAGACAGGAACCUGCGGGGAUGGACAGACGGACGGACAUGGGGACACAGGGACAGACAGGAACCUGCGGACAGAUGGACAGACAUGGGGACAGAUGGACACGAUGGACGACAGGAACCUGCGGACGGACAGACGGACAGAUGGACACGGGGACACGGGGACAGGGACAGACAGGAACCUGCGGACGGACAGACAUGGGGACAGAUGGACACGAUGGACGACAGGAACCUGCGGACAGAUGGACAGAUGGACAGAUGGACACGGGGACAGACAGGGACCUGCGGACGGACAGACGGACAGAUGGACACGGGGACAGAUGGACACAAUGGACGACAGGAACCUGGGGACAGACGGACGGACAGACAUGGGGACACAGGGACAGAUGGACAGGAUGGACGACAGGAACCUGCGGGGAUGGACAGAUGGACACGGGGACAGGGACAGACAGGAACCUGCGGACAGAUGGACAGAUGGACACGGGGACAGACAGGAACCUGCGGACGGACAGACGGACAGACAUGGGGACAGAUGGACACGAUGGACAGAUGGACAGGAUGGACGACAGGAACCUGGGGAUGGACAGACGGACAGAUGGACACGGGGACAGACAGGAACCUGCGGACGAACAGACGGACAGACAUGGGGACAGGGACAGACAGGAACCUGCGGACGGACAGACGGACAGAUGGACACGGGGACAGAUGGACAGGAUGGACGACAGGAACCUGGGGAUGGACAGACGGACAGAUGGACACGGGGACAGACAGGAACCUGCGGGGAUGGACAGACGGACAGAUGGACAAAUGGACACAGGGACACAGAGACAGACAGGAACCUGCGGACGGACAGACGGACAGACAUGGGGACAGAUGGACACGGGGACAGAUGGACACGGGGACACAGGGACAGACAGGAACCUGCGGACAGACGGACAGACAUGGGGACAGAUGGCCACGAUGGACGACAGGAACCUGCGGACGGACAGACGGACAGAUGGACAAAUGGACACGGGGACAGGGACAGGGACAGACAGGAACCUGCGGACAGAUGGACAGACGGACAUGGGGAUGGAUGGACGACAGGACAGACAGAUGGACACGGGGACAGAUGGACACGGGGACAGGGACAGACAGGAACCUGCGGGGAUGGACAGAUGGAUGGACACGGGGACAGACAGACAGACAGACAGAUGGACACAGGGACAGACAGACAGAUGGACAGAUGGACAUGGGGACAGGGACAGACGGACACUCAGGGACAGACGGACACGGGGACAGACAGACAGGAACCUGCGGGCACAUGGGCACACGGACAGACGGACACAGGGACAGACAGACAGGAACCUGCGGACGGACAGACGGACAUGGGGACGGAUGGACGACAGGACAGACAGAUGGACACGGGGACAGAGAC